UGCAGAGUAGCCAAAGUAAAUAAGGCAAUAGAUUGUAAAUCUAUGAUUGGGUGUAUCACUCCUUUGUAU
rnacentral:tRNA from 1 species